GUCAACUGUGAAGGAGUACAGAAAGGUCAGGCAGCAAAGGGAUUCUAAAGGCCUGGAAUAAGCGAUUGCACAUUCUUUCUGGUGAUUUUUCUUCUAGUCCACAUCCCACCCCAAGCCCACAGCCUGCUUCAUCCCAACUGCAAUCUCAACUACUCCCUCACCUCCUUCUUCCAAAGAGAAAGAUGUGAAAAAGCAAAAUCAGUCAGUCUGAUCUCACCUUCCCUUCCCUCCAUUUAAUGGAGGGUUGGGGGUUGGGGAGAGCAUGCAACAAGGAAAUAGCUCUGGAAUCCAGAACAUCUGGCUUCUAUUCAGACCCAAUCACCAACCUUGGGAGCAUAUUGAAAGCAUUUGGCUGUCUCAACAGUCUAAAAGAAGCUAUUUAUUUCAGACUCAACAACCAGCCCAACCAUAUGCUUCCAUUUGGAAACAAUUGGAGACACGCAUGAAAUUUGGUGCUGUGACUCGGAUCGGGGGACCUCCCUUGGGAGAUCAAUCCCCUGUCCUCCUGCUCUUUGCUCCAUGAAAAAGAUCCACCUACAACCUCGGGUCCUCAGACCCACCAGCCCAAGGAACAUCUCACCAAUUUUAAAUCGGAUCUGCUUGGCUUAGCGACUGAAGAUCGACGCUGCCCGAUCGCCUCGGAAGCCCCUUGGACCAUCACAGACGCUGAGCUUCAGAAGAAGGCAAGAAUGUCAGGCCUCUGAGCCCAAGCCAAGCCAUCACAUCCCCUGUGACUUGCACACAUACGCCCAGAUGGCUUGAAGUAACUGAAGAAUCACUAAAGAAGUGAAAAUGCCCUGCCCCGCCUUAACUGAUGACAUUCCACCACAAAAGAAGUGAAAAUGGCCGGUCCUUGCCUUAACUGAUGACAUUACCUUGUGAAAGUCCUUUUCCUGGCUCAUCCUGGCUCAAAAAGCUCCCCCACUGAGCACCUUGCGACCCCCACUCCUGCCCACCAGAGAACAAAUCCCCUUUGACUGUAAUUUUCCUUUAUCUACCCAAAUCCUAUAAAACGGCCCCACACUUAUCUCCCUUCACUGACUGUCUUUUCGGACUCAACCCGCCUGCACCCUGGUGAUUAAACGCUUUAUUGCUCACCCAAAGCCUGUUUGGUGGUCUCUUCACCCGGAUGCGCAUGAAAGUCAAGGCCC
rnacentral:lncRNA from 10 species